rnacentral:rRNA from 1 species
CCUACGGGCGGCUGCAGUAGGGAAUCUUCCACAAUGGGCGAAAGCCUGAUGGAGCAACGCCGCGUGGGCGAAGAAGGUCUUCGGAUCGUAAAACUCUGUUGUUAGAGAAGAAAGUGCGUGAGAGUAACUGUUCACGUUUCGACGGUAUCUAACCAGAAAGCCACGGCUAACUACGUGCCAGCAGCCGCGGUAAUACGUAGGUGGCAAGCGUUAUCCGGAUUUAUUGGGCGUAAAGGGAACGCAGGCGGUCUUUUAAGUCUGAUGUGAAAGCCUUCGGCUUAACCGGAGUAGUGCAUUGGAAACUGGGAGACUUGAGUGCAGAAGAGGAGAGUGGAACUCCAGGUGUAGCGGUGAAAUGCGUAGAUAUAUGGAAGAACACCAGUGGCGAAAGCGGCUCUCUGGUCUGUAACUGACGCUGAGGUUCGAAAGCGUGGGUAGCAAACAGGAUUAGAUACCCUAGUAGUC